rnacentral:rRNA from 1 species
UACGUAGGGGGCUAGCGUUGUCCGGAAUCAUUGGGCGUAAAGCGCGCGUAGGCGGCCCGGUAAGUCCGCUGUGAAAGUCAAAGGCUCAACCUUUGAAUGUCAGCGGAUACUGCCGGGCUAGAGUCCGGAAGAGGCGAGUGGAAUUCCUGGUGUAGCGGUGGAAUGCGCAGAUAUCAGGAAGAACACCCGUGGCGAAGGCGGCUCUCUGGGACGGUACUGACGCUGAGACGCGAAAGCGUGGGGAGCGAACAGG